CACACCGCCCGUCACAUCACGAAAGUGGGCUGCACUAGAAGCCGGUGUGCCAACCCGCAAGGGAGGGAGCCGUCGAAGGUGGGAUCGGUGAUUGGGGUG
rnacentral:rRNA from 1 species